rnacentral:rRNA from 1 species
CUACGGGAGGCAGCAGUAAGGAAUAUUGGACAAUGGGGGCAACCCUGAUCCAGCCAUGCCGCGUGAGUGACGAAGGCCUUCGGGUUGUAAAGCUCUUUCGGAUGUGAAGAUAAUGACAGUAGCAUAAGAAGAAGCUCCGGCUAAACUCGUGCCAGCAGCCGCGGUAA